CCAGCGUUCGUCCCCUCCUCUCCUGGAGGAGCAGGCUAGCCGCAAAAACCUAGCAACCCCUCAGUCCUCGACGUGGGAUCCGCCGCUUCCCUCUCAACGCUCGCCCCCGCCUUUCAUCGGGUCGUGCCCGUCCCCACCUCGCCCUUGCUGGCCGCCCCGCCGCUCGAUCUGUCGCGCCCCACGGAUAGAGGUGGCUAUCUAUCGUCGACUACACACACCGUGUGAUGGCCAUGGCGAUCGGAUUCCGACGCGAGCCCACAUCUUCGAGGUGCUUCAAUACUAUUUUCAGUACUACAUCUGAACGUAUCUCUAUAUCAUGGAGCUCAGAAGUAAUUUUCUGCAGUUAGCAACUCUUUGGACUCAUCCCCAAUUAUAAGUUCUAAAGUAUGCUCACCUGCUUAGGAACUCCUUCACAUGAUUUUUCUUGAAUUGGCUCACAAUCGUAAGUGGAGUCUGCAAGUGUUCUUUAUUGAUUUGUGAAAUUUUCAUUAAGUUCUUCAACUGAACUUUGUUAUGUGGCAUCCCAGAAUAUGAAGAUAACGGAUGGGGAGAUCAUGAGUGGCAUCAACCGUUUGGGCUCGGAUGCUUAUAAUGCUGAGGAAAUUUUGGUGCUUCAAGUUCCGUUUGUUUAAUGUUCCCAUACUGCUGUUUUGAAGAACAUGAAUAUAACUCUGCCAUGAAGUGUUAAAUAAAUUCUUUUGAAGAACAUCGUUCGCCUCCCCUUCUCUUCCAGGCGGCACAGAUUGGUACCGAGGCAGCGCACCUCUACUGUUUACUAGCACCUUGCGGCGGUGAGGUGCGCUAGGUACACAAGAGGAGAAGAGAGUGGCGGUCUCCUUUGCAAUCUCCUAGCCGCGAAGUGGAACGCCUGUCGCUUGGAGAGUUUGAGCAGGAGGAAAGGAGCAAUGGAGAUCGGAGUACAGUACCAGGCGAGCACCCUCCAAGGAGCACCAGAAUAUCUAUCCUGAGUUGUUUUCCUUCAAAGGUACAGGUACGAGAACCUGAUCAAUAAGACAUUGAUUCAGAUCUAAGUCAUCAAAGAAAGAUAAACUUUGGGAAUUAGCCGUCAAGGUAAAAGUGCUUCAUACAUGAGAAGGAGGUGAAGUGGGGUGAGGUGAACCUUUGAUGUAUACUUCAAAGCUUUAGGGAAAGUGCAUUUAAUAACAUGUUAGUUGGUCUGCAUUUGAAUGUGUUGAUAAAUAGACUAGAGCCAAGAAUUGAAAGAGUAGUUGUUGUCAUGGUAAAAUUUAGCAUUUUUUUAUUUGUGAGCUUUAGCAUUCUGAAGUCCUCUAUUUUGUAGUACACCAGGUGGAUGAAAUAAUUAUUGCGCUAGGUAGUUAUGUCUCUUUGGUAUUGGGUUUAUGAAAGAUAAUCAACUAACCUUCUGUAUAUUCAGAAGUUUGUCUCAAAAGUUGCUAUCUGGGUGUGUUUAUGCUUUAGUGGUGUUCUCAAAAAGGUCUUUAUUUCAGUUUAUUGCCCUCUAUUUUCGACAUCCAGGUUCGUGUUUAUACACUCUUGUUUGGCUUAUAUGUUACAGUUCAAUGUUCAUUAAUUUUCUGCUACUGCUGCUGUAAAAUAGACAAGCUAGAGUCAAACCAGCUUAGAUUUAGUAGAAUAAUUAGUUUUUAUUAUUUUCUUUGGUUGCAGAUUCUGUUUUCAUACUGUGCUGCUCUGUAAUGUUUCUUGCAAGUGUGAAAUGAUGAUCGAUGCUGUUUUGGCAUUACAGAACUAGGAUGAAACCAAGGUUGUGUACAUCUAACAUUAGGCUGAGAUGGAUCUUCUUUUCUUUAAGUUGCUGCCUAGAUAGUUACUGAGCUGACGGAGGAAUUCCAUGGUGCAUGUACCCAAGGACUCCUCUUCAGGUUACGCGGUUGAAGACUGUGUACCACAUUUCAGCCUCAACUUGAUGAGUUUGUGUUUCUGAAAUGAUUUUGUCUCCUUACAUACUUUAAAUUUCUUUGUUGCUCA